rnacentral:rRNA from 1 species
GAUGAACGCUAGCGGCAGGCUUAACACAUGCAAGUCGAGGGGCAGCACGGACUUCGGUCUGGUGGCGACCGGCAAACGGGUGCGGAACACGUACACAAUCUACCUUUAUCUGGGGUAUAGCCCGAAGAAAUUCGGAUUAAUCCCCCAUAAUAUAUUAGAGUGGCAUCACUUCGAUAUUAAAACUCCGGUGAAUAAAGAUGAGUGUGCGUCCCAUUAGCUAGUUGGUAGGGUAACGGCCUACCAAGGCAACGAUGGGUAGCUGGUGUGAGAGCACGACCAGCCACACGGGCACUGAGACACGGGCCCGACUCCUACGGGAGGCAGCAGUGAGGAAUAUUGGUCAAUGGACGCAAGUCUGAACCAGCCAUGCCGCGUGAAGGAUGAAGGCCUUCUGGGUUGUAAACUUCUUUUAUUGGGGAAGAAAAUUACGGUUUCUACUGUAACCGACGGUACCCAAGGAAUAAGCACCGGCUAACUCCGUGCCAGCCGCCGCCGUAA